UACGUAGGUGGCAAGCGUUGUCCGGAAUUAUUGGGCGUAAAGCGCGCGCAGGCGGUCCUUUAAGUCUGAUGUGAAAGCCCACGGCUCAACCGUGGAAGGUCAUUGGAAACUGGGGGACUUGAGUGCAGAAGAGGAAAGCGGAAUUCCAAGUGUAGCGGUGAAAUGCGUAGAGAUUUGGAGGAACACCAGUGGCGAAGGCGGCUUUCUGGUCUAUAACUGACGCUGAGGCGCGAAAGCGUGGGGAGCAAACAGG
rnacentral:rRNA from 1 species